UGCGUAGGGGGCUAGCGUUGUCCGGAUUUAUUGGGCGUAAAGAGCGUGUAGGCGGUCAGGUAGGUCGGUUGUGAAAACUGGAGGCUCAACCUUCAGAGGUCGACCGAAACCCCCUGGCUAGAGUCCGGGAGAGGAGAGUGGAAUUCCUGGUGUAGCGGUGAAAUGCGCAGAUAUCAGGAAGAACACCCGUGGCGAAAGCGGCUCUCUGGAACGGUACUGACGCUGAGACGCGAAAGCGUGGGGAGCGAACAGG
rnacentral:rRNA from 1 species